rnacentral:rRNA from 1 species
GAUGAACGCUGGCGGCGUGCCUAAUACAUGCAAGUCGAGCGAACGGACGAGAAGCUUGCUUUUCUGUUGUUAGCGGCGGACGGGUGAGUAACACGUGGAUAACCUACCUAUAAGACUGGGAUAACUUCGGGAAACCGGAGCUAAUACCGGAUAAUAUUUUGAACCGCAUGGUUCAAAAGUGAAAGACGGUCUUGCUGUCACUUAUAGAUGGAUCCGCGCUGCAUUAGCUAGUUGGUAAGGUAACGGCUUACCAAGGCAACGAUGCAUAGCCGACCUGAGAGGGUGAUCGGCCACACUGGAACUGAGACACGGUCCAGACUCCUACGGGAGGCAGCAGUAGGGAAUCUUCCGCAAUGGGCGAAAGCCUGACGGAGCAACGCCGCGUGGGUGAUGAAGGUCUUCGGAUCGUAAAACUCUGUUAUUAGGGAAGAACAUAUGUGUAAGUAACUGUGCACAUCUUGACGGUACCUAAUCAGAAAGCCACGGCUAACUACGUG